rnacentral:rRNA from 1 species
UUAUAAGAGACAGCAGCCGCCACGGUAAAACAGAGGGUGCGAGCGUUAAUCGGAUUUACUGGGCGUAAAGCGUGCGUAGGCGGCUUUUUAAGUCGGAUGUGAAAUCCCUGAGCUUAACUUAGGAAUUGCAUUCGAUACUGGGAAGCUAGAGUAUGGGAGAGGAUGGUAGAAUUCCAGGUGUAGCGGUGAAAUGCGUAGAGAUCUGGAGGAAUACCGAUGGCGAAGGCAGCCAUCUGGCCUAAUACUGACGCUGAGGUACGAAAGCAUGGGGAGCAAACAGGAUUAGAUACCCGAGUAGUCCCUGUCUCUUAUAC